rnacentral:misc_RNA from 1 species
AUGGCUAGUAAAAUUAUCACGGGUGUCCUUUCCUCUGAAGCUAAUGAAGACAUCAUACUUCCAUUCAUGAGCAGUGGAACAAGUUGCCAUAAUGGACUCAUACAGUAUCUUGAAUGGCAAAAUCACUUCAGAAUAGGAAUCAAUAAAGGCCCCCUCUUUUCCUGAGAAACUAAAACAAAAUUAUCUUCAACCAAGAAAGAAAAAAUAGAAAUAAUCAAGAAUAUAAGUAAAAAGAAGUGUUCUGCAUGAACUGAAUCCACCAUUACAUGGAUACGUGUCUGCAACUUCCCAACCAUAAAAUGCAUUUUGUGAUUUUCCCUCAACCAUCAAACAUUUAUUUUUUAUAGAAGGAUCACGAUAAUACGUUUUGGUCAUUGUUGAAUUAAAAGAAAAAUUAUUGUCCCUUUUACUAAAUUGUUUAACAGAUUUGUAAGAAACAGUUGAAUGAACCUAAGUUCACCAUCCUUCCAAAUAAAAGAAUAAAGCUCAAUCUCGAUUACCCAAAUUCAAGUUCAUCUCAGAAUUGGAUUCAAUAAACAUGAGCUGUUCAAAUGAGAGGAUAGAUCAGAAACGCAUAAACCAGCAAACUGCAAUGAAUACCUCAAAACACAGUUAUUAAAUGACGAAGGUGCACUAAGGCAUCAAGGGGGAAGCUUAGGCACAAAGCGCAUGCGUACGCCUGAGUGAGGUGAGGUGCAAUGGAAGAAAAUACAAAAUAUAUCAGUAAUUAUUGUAUUUUGUAUAUUAAAAAACGUUUUUGAGUGAAAGGUUAAUAAGAAUUAUAUUUUUCUUUUCAUUCUUUUGACUUUAAUUGAAGAAAAAAAUCAAAUAUUGUUAAAUAAAAAUUCAUUGAUGCAUUAAUAAGACAUUCAGGAAACUAAAGAAAAGUCAGUUUAUUUUACAGAAGCUUUUAUUUUGCAUUUUGAACUAAUUAUUGUAGAUAUUCAUCUAACAUCUAACAGAAUUAUUAAAUUGGCAGGCGACAAAAUUGGAAAUAAAGUCAGAGUGGGUAUGAAUAGUCACAGACACAGUCACAAAUAUGCCAGAGAAGAAAGAAAAUCCAGCACCUACAAGAUUAACAUGUUUAAAUUGAGAGAAUAAAUCAAUAAAAUAAACAGUCACAUUAAGCUAGAAAAAAUAAAGCAUGCGAUCAGAGUGAAUUGCAAUUACAGUAUGCCAUAAUUAUCAACAUUCAUUCAAGCAAUUGUUUCUUAGGUUGUGUUCUGUCAAAUAAUAGGUUCCCAAAAUUAGGAAUUCAAUUUUUACGUUUGAAUCAGCUUCACAUAAAUGUAGAGGAUGAAGGCAAAUUGUUACUGCAAAUAACAAAGACGAUACAACAAAAUAACUUGUGACAUAGUUCCAAAUGAAGCGAACAAGUGUCUCAGCACGAAGACAAUCCCUUUCCCUCAAAGAUUCCCGUUUAUAUGUAACACACAAUUAAUGUUGCAUAUAUUGGGCUCCAUAAAAUUAGAAAGAAAAAGAGCAAAUGUGUUAGUGGGUGAGGGCGGAGAGAAAGCAGCAAAAAGAGAAGAUCGAAGGAAAAAAAAAAAAAAGCAUGAACCCAUGGCUGGAGAGAGAUGAGGCGAGCAGGCAGAGAAGAGGAUGAAGACCGUCUGAGGUUGCUUGUACCAAAAUG